ACACAUGCACACACACGCACACUCUCCCAUCCCACAGGCUCCAGAGUCCUCUAUGGAUCCAAUCUGGACUUUUUCUAAGAUCAAGUAUUUGCUCUACUCUUUUCCCUUCACUUUUCUGUUUCCCUUCCUCCUAUACAAGUUUUUCCUGAUUAGUAAAUUACGUGUAUCCAAAACCCUGCCUCAGGCUCUGCUUCCAAAGAACCCAACCUAAGACGUGAGAAAGUGAAUUCAUAGAUCAGGACGUACAAAAUGGAGGCCUCCCCAGUGGCCUGGCCCAUGCCCCUAAUCUAACCCUACGUGAGCCUGCGCUUAUGGAAGUACCUCACUGUCAAGGACACCUGACACCAGGCACAAUCCUCUAAUUCAGCAUUCAGCUUGCCUUACCCUAGAAAACAGGACCUGCCUGCCUUACCAGAAAUCCCCUGCCUUCUGGGCAAUCAUGACCUGCUUCCAGAUUGUCUCUUCUAACACUCUAUAAAACUCCCUCUUGCCCAAAUCCCUUGGACAGAGAGCUCCACUGCUUCUGACACACUGUCACAAGCCUGUAACCCCCAACUGCAGUUCCCUAUUUCCAAAGUCCUUGCUUUUUGCAGAUUCCUGGCCUAGAGUCACACAGUACCAAGAAAACGCCUGGAGGAAAUGUCCCUGAGGCACACUGUACCUGCCUCCUUCCGGGUACGUGCUUGAAUAAAUCAAAGGAAGCUGGAUUGUUUAUUUGGGGGUGGGAGUUCUGUGCCUGAUUCUAAAAGACUUAGUCUGUAGGAAAGGACAAGAGGUGAGAAUUAAAGUCCAAAUACAAUGGUCCAUUCCAGUGUCAGCUCCUUGGGGACAGGGACGGUGUCCAUCGUGCUCACACUGUUGCUGUGCCCAGCACAGUGGCUGACCCACAACAGAUCUGCAACUUGGUGAGAAGGUGAAUGAAACAGAGAAGCAAUAGGAGGUGAGAGCUCUGUGAGUAAGUGGAAGAAAGUUGGGGAAAAAGGGUCUGUGCCAGGUAAGACAUGUUCCUUUGCAAGCUGCUUUGUUGCUUUUCAAGCUCAUCUGUGAUAACUGCACUUUUCCUGGAACCUACUUAUAGUGCCCAGGGAUCUGUGGACUCAGGCUCUCAUUUGGGAAAGUGACAUUCCAGAGUACCCUUCCUCCUCCAUGCAGGAUGGAGAUCCAGCAGCCCGCGCCUAAACCUGGAACAUGCUCUGCUUCGAAAAGACCUAGUGGACCUCAAGGUAUAAUUCUUUGAAAUGACAUAUAUUCCCAUCAGGUGCUUCAGAGAAGCACUGGCCUUUUUCUUGACAGGCAAUGUGCAUAUUGGCACCAGAUUAUUGGAUGGAAAAAUACAGGCAUUUUCCAAGCCUCAAACACAGGAGUGUGCCAUCUAUUAAUUUGGAUUUCUUCCUUAACUAUCGUCAUACCAAUAUGUGGUGGUUUUUCUAAGAAGAAAUCAAUCCAAAUACGUCUUUGGACUCAGAAUCCAGGAAGCCUGGGUUUUAUCUCUGACUUGGUCACAGAUGCAGUGAAAAUGGAGUCUGAUUUUGGGGAAUCCGAACUGAGAUAGAGGCAUAUUUUGCUACCUGAAAUGCCCUGGGCCUAAGCGCUCUUGAGGAAAGAAAGGACUUGGAGCUACAGAAUAUCUGAUCCUGCCAUUGCUG